CUAUAUUUUAUGCCACGUGUCAUCUUUUGGGAGAAGUUUUUUUUGCUGAUGUGGACGCUCUAUGGAGCCUCCAAAGGUCCCUUUUAUUAGUAAGGAUUAAGAGCCAAUUAUAUAAAUAUGUGUUGGGAAUAGGUUAAGCAACAUUUAAAAGAAGUGGUCGACCAAAACAAUUAAAUUAUAACUUGAAAUGGGGCGCGUGAGCACGAAGUUGUUUCUGUCUAGGGUCGAGAGAGGAACCCACGAGGAGACGACCUUUGCUUUACCAAAACCUAAGCUGUUACUCUUACGCGUUUGUGGGUCCUACUCCAGGCCCCCACCUAUCUCUAUCUCCUCCUUUUUCUCUCCCCUCCAUUAUUCCCCUGAGAGCACCCCCAACGCUAAGUCCUUAGCAAUAUUUGUCAGGAGAAAAAAUAUUAUAAUAUUUGUUUUUUAGGUUUCCGUGCGCCAUAAACUCUUGCAUAAGGAUUGAUUCAUAUCAAAGUUCGUUACUGUUCGCGGGCCCCACUACGCGUGGCGGCCCACGAUUGGUCAGCUUUUUUUUUUUUUUUUUUUUUUUUAAAUUUCGGACGAAAAAAAGAAAAAAUAAUAAAAUAUUCUAAAAGUUGUUUAUUGGUUAUCGAACCCUUGGUUUCUGGGUUGUGGGUGCUCUGAGUUAUCUCUCACAACUCGCCCUUCGUAUUCCAACUUAUUUACGUUAUUGUCACACCCUACUCGUCCACCUUCUUUGACCAUGCCCAUUAUUAUAUUUUUGAUAGUAUUAAACUUUGGAUUACUACUACACUACUUCAUCUUUUUAUGCUAUGUAAUCUUCUUUUUUGUAUUUGUGUUCAUAAUCUUUUGUUAAGGAAAGUAAGAUUUGUUUGCCCAAAAAAAAAAAGGAAAGUAAGAUUUAAGCGGAAUUGUUAAUUGUGGAGACAUGUGGCAAUAUAUCUAUAAGUUAAUUUUGUUAAGGUAGGUUUCCUUCUAUCGUAAGGAAAAAAAAAAGAGAAGGCAAAAUCCAUGUGUUCGACUACAUUUUAAUCAAUGGAAAAAUGGCAGGUGUCGUUGGCUGAUAAGAAUGGCGUGAAGUUGUGCGAGUAGUUUCGGAGUCAGUCAACCGAGCCGACUCAACUUAGGUCGGCCCAACUAAUAAUAUUAAAAUGUAGUAAUUGCUCCUAAGUCCUCAUAUCAAAUAUUUUUAUGGUAUCUGAUUUCGGUUUGUUAAAAUGGUUAAGAAACCGAAAAAGUACAGAAAUUAAACAAGAACAAGCCAUUGGACUCAGAAUCAUAAACUUGAUUCAAUUUUGUGGUAAAAUGACAUGGAACUUUAGCGACCAUGUCUUAAAUAGAAUCCAUUGGUUGUUUUCAAUUUUUGACCAGUAUAUAAAUAUGUUACAACCGUCCAGGACUAUGUUUAUGUUCAAAACUUCAUCAAGAUUUACAUCUCGUCUGUCUCUCAAGCAUCAUCCCACCCAAGAAAACCAAACAAUCCAAAAAAUGAAAAAAAAAUGAAACAAUAAAUCAACAAUUGACUGAAUAGCUCCACCAAUAUGGUAUGUAACUGAACAAGGUUGUAUACAUAAAAUAAACAUACCUCUGAAGAAUAAGUACUCAUGAAGAACUCCAAAGGGGUUAAGUUAGUUCAGGGGCUCAGGAACUCCGCUUGUGUCUCUGUCAUGUUCUUGUGCGGGCCGAGGAAGAACCCUGCUCUGUGCUUACCACAUCACUGCUUUGCUGUUCCGCUGCUGUGUUUGGAACAGCUUUUUGUUUCAGAUAUGUCUCCAGAGGAAAGUUGCAGCUUGCAAAAGACUCAUCAUGUUCACUCGGGAAGCCCCAGGGUCUGAGUUUAAGUCAUUGUGUCCCUUACAAGACACAUAAGAGAUUACCUGUGUGUAUCCAUGUCUCGUCAUUAAGACAUAAGAGAUUACCUGUCCCUUUAAAGUCAAAACUCGCCCUUUACUAUUUCAGCAUAUUUACUCUAUUGUCAAGAAGACCAGUCACGAUAGUGCACACAUGAAUAAGGGGUGGUUCUUGAGGCGCUAGUUUCAGAACGCUCACUCCAAGGGGUGUGCACGUUCUUUCAGCCGUUAGUGUCCGAUAUGCCAAGAAUGUUUGCAGCAGCUCAAACUAUUCUAAGACUUACGUAGCCCAAAUUAAGAAUCAGAGAAUGGGCGGAAGAUUGGUUGAUGGGCCGUUUAGAACCAAAACAUCUUUCUACUCUCCUACACUUUUUAAAAAGGAACACAACACACAUGACCACUAAACCACAAUAAGUGCAACUGACUCAGCAUAUGAGUUAAGUUUGUUGUCAAAAUGGAAAUUAUUGCAUAAGAUGCUGGGCCAUUAAAAGUCUUAUCCGGUAGCUAACGCCUUUUAAUCAACUCUCGGGCUGAGUUUUAUUGAAACUAGCCAUAGAUGGGUCCUUUUCUCUUUAAUAACUUGUAACCAUUAACUUUAAAAUUAGAGAGAGAAGCGUUCAAGUAAAUAUCCCCCUUAUGCUUUGAAUAAUGUGACAACAUGUAGUCGUUUAUUGAAGAAAUGAUUAAUAUCUUUAUGGUUGAACAGAAAAAAAGAUAAACAUCUUUAUGUCAUAAGGGCGGGGGUUAUAACUACCAUAUCGGUAAGACUAGAGAUUAUUGUUAAUAUAAAUGCAUGCUUGAUUGCAAAAUAAAUAAAAGCAUGACUGGGAUCAAGGUAAUAAUCGAACCAUUUGACUAAUGUCAUUAAUCUAUAUUUUUUUUCGUUUCAUAAAGAUAGAUUUUAACAUAUUAAGAAAAUAGAUUAAAUUACUAUAAUAUAAUUUUUAUAAAGUUAAUUUUCAAUAUUUUUUUAUCCAAUAGCAAUUUAAUAAAAUUAUUUUUUUAAAAAAAAGUUUAUAAUUUUUUCAUAGGAAACAUAGAAAAUAUAUUCUUGUGAUUUGUUUUAAAAAAAUACUUAUCUUUAUGAAACCGAGAGAAUAUACGAAGUUUCGAACCCUUUGACAUAUGACUCUAUACCCACUGUGGUGAACAUACAAAACACUUUCAACUUCUCGUUCUCCUUCUAUUUUUUUUUCCUUGGUCUCUGUUGUUUCUAUUUCUUUUCGCAUGUCCUUCCUCUGGGUCAACUUGAUCAUUAUCCAACAGAAAUUGUGCCACAUGCUUGCGGAUAUUUCUCAAAUAGAACUUUUAAACAUUUACACACCCGUAUAUGUUGCAUCAUGCUAUUUGCAUAUUAGUCUUAUGGUUACAUUUGGGUUGCAUGUGAAGUAUAGUCCUCGUUGUAUCUAUCAAUUAAUGUUGAUUUUUAAAAUUAUAAGUUAAGAAAUAGAUUUUGAUCCGCGCUUAGAAAGCGCGGAUUUAUUGGAUUAUAUUAUAAUACAAAGUCUUAUUAUAUAGAAAACUAUAAUUAUUAACAGUUAUAUAAUCUAUGAAUUAAUUUAUUUGAGAUUUUAUAUGUACACUUUUACGUAAAAGUUUCUUUUAAGUAUGAGAAUUAUAUCCGGAUCAAAAUAAAAAACGAACCGAUCCGAAAAUAUAGGUUUAGUUCAGGUCCAGAGAAGAUAACUUAUUGAUUUUUUUUUUGGACCCGCAUGUUUUUGUUUGAGUCUGGGUCCUACUCUAGACCCGAUCAUAAAUACGUUGUGUUUAUUGGUAUAUUUGGAUAUUUCGAAUAUGUUUCCGGUAUUAUGGAUAUUUUUCUAAGUUUUUGGUUUACGAUUAUAGUUUUUGAUUUCAGGUAAAUUUUCAAAUUAAAAAAAUUUGUUAUUUGAAUAAAAUUUUGGGUAUUUUUCAGUUCAUCAUGUCAGAUUUUGAAUAAGAUUUUGAAUUUUUAGGUAUUUGAAUUUUUUGGAUAUUUGUUUGGAGUUUCAAGUACAUUAUUGUACAAAACAUGGUUGAUGAAAUAUAUUUCUUAGAAAAUGUAUUAU